rnacentral:rRNA from 1 species
UACGUAGGGGGCAAGCGUUGUCCGGAUUUAUUGGGCGUAAAGAGCGUGUAGGCGGCUUGGAAGGUCAGCUGUGAAAACUCGAGGCUCAACCUCGAGACGUCGGUUGAAACCACCUGGCUAGAGUCCGGAAGAGGAGAGUGGAAUUCCCGGUGUAGCGGUGAAAUGCGCAGAUAUCGGGAAGAACACCCGUGGCGAAGGCGACUACCUGGCCUGUUCUUGACGCUGAGGCGCGAAAGCUAGGGGAGCAAACGGGG